rnacentral:rRNA from 1 species
CCUACGGGAGGCAGCAGUGGGGAAUAUUGCGCAAUGGGCGGAAGCCUGACGCAGCGACGCCGCGUGGGGGAUGACGGCCUUCGGGUUGUAAACCCCUUUCAGCAUCGACGAAGCUYCAUCYUUUYGGGGUGGGGUGACGGUAGGUGCAGAAGAAGCGCCGGCUAACUACGUGCCAGCAGCCGCGGUAAUACGUAGGGCGCGAGCGUUGUCCGGAAUUAUUGGGCGUAAAGAGCUCGUAGGCGGUCUGUCGCGUCUGUCGUGAAAGCCCACGGCUUAACUGUGGGUCUGCGGUGGAUACGGGCAGGCUAGAGGCAGGUAGGGGAGCAUGGAAUUCCCGGUGUAGCGGUGAAAUGCGCAGAUAUCGGGAGGAACACCGGUGGCGAAGGCGGUGCUCUGGGCCUGUUCUGACGCUGAGGAGCGAAAGCGUGGGGAGCGAACAGGAUUAGAUACCCUGGUAGUCCACGCCGUAAACGUUGGGSGCUAGGUGUGGGGUUCUUCCACGGAUUCCGCGCCGUAGCUAACGCAUAAGCGCCCCGCCCKGGGARWSGCMACCKU